rnacentral:rRNA from 1 species
UACGAAGGGGGCUAGCGUUGUUCGGAUUUACUGGGCGUAAAGCGCACGUAGGCGGAUCGUUAAGUCGAGGGUGAAAUCCUGGAGCUCAACUCCAGAACUGCCUUCGAUACUGGAAGACUUGAGUCCGGGAGAGGUGAGUGGAACUGCGAGUGUAGAGGUGAAAUUCGUAGAUAUUCGCAAGAACACCAGUGGCGAAGGCGGCUCACUGGCCCGGUACUGACGCUGAGGUGCGAAAGCGUGGGGAGCAAACAGG